rnacentral:tRNA from 3 species
GCGCAUAUAGCUUAACUGGCAGAGCAGCCGGCUCUUAACCGGCAGGUUCAGGGUUCGACUCCCUGUAUGCGCA